ensembl:snoRNA Gm24998 predicted gene, 24998
AGUGCAUCAGUAGGUGGCAGAGGAGAGAGGCUGUAUCUAUGCUCAGUGUUCUGACCUGUGAAGCUCUGAAUGAUUAAUACUCUAACAUU